rnacentral:rRNA from 1 species
GAUGAACGCUAGCUACAGGCUUAACACAUGCAAGUCGAGGGACCGGCGCCCGGGUGAGUAACACGUAUCCAACCUGCCCUUUACUCGGGGAUAGCCUUUCGAACGAAAGAUUAAUACCCGAUAACACGGAGGGGGAUGCGUUCCAUUAGGUUGUUGGUGAGGUAACGGCGCACCAAGCCUUUGAUGGAUAGGGGUUCUGAGAGGCAGGGCCCGCACAUUGAGACUGAGACACGGGCCAAACGCCUACUGGAGGAAGCAGUGAGGAAUGAUUGUCAAUGGGCGUUAGCAUGAACCAUCCAAGUAGCGUGAAGGAUGAAGGCUUAUUGGGCGUAAACUUCUUUUAUAUAAGAAUAGGUAUUAUAUGAAUAAGGAGCGGCUAACUCCGUGCCAGCAGACGCGGUAAUUC